rnacentral:rRNA from 1 species
UACAGAGGUCCCAAGCGUUGUUCGGAUUCACUGGGCGUAAAGGGUGCGUAGGUGGUGAGGUAAGUCGGAUGUGAAAUCUCCGAGCUCAACUCGGAAACUGCAUUGGAAACUACCUUGCUCGAGGGUUGGAGGGGGGACUGGAAUGCUUGGUGUAGCAGUGAAAUGCGUAGAUAUCAAGCGGAACACCAGUGGCGAAGGCGAGUCCCUGGACAACUCCUGACACUGAUGCACGAAAGCUAGGGGAGCAACAGG